rnacentral:lncRNA from 1 species
CUUACAGGGCAGCCCUGGUCCCAAGGCCCACGGGAGGCUCCUUCUCUCCCAUUCGGGGGCACCCAAACCCCGCUAGCGGGGUUAUCGCCCCACACACGCUGCCGGUGGAGCACAAAGUCUCCCACACCCAGACCCUGCUUACAGGCGGGACAACGAUGCCCAGGGAGACCCAGAGCUCGGCCUUCGCCCACAGGAGCAGGAACGACUCCAAGCAGCCAGGAUGUGGGGCGGCAUGGCCAAAGGCUGCAGGCCGGUACCCCAGCCCCGCGUACGGGGAGGGCCAACACCCAGCCCCACUCAUCUCAGUCCCACGCCUCUGAAAGGCUGGGGCCAGAGACACCCGCCCUGCUUACAGAACAGGGCCCUACAAGUCCUCCCGCCCAGCCCAGGGGAUGCGCACAGCCCUGCCUACAGGGUGCUCCCCCAGCGCUGCCCAGUCCCAAAAAGCCCCACGGAGCACAAUGCUCUGGCCUGCGCCCCAGUUACGGGCUGGCCCUCCUGGAUGCACCACAACGUUGCCUCUUCCAUACACCCGGGAGCAACCUCAUCCCAAAAAGCAGGGCUUGUGCCCAGCACCUCCUGAACCCGCACCCUCCCUCUGCAGGGCAAGGGAGGGCUCGUUCCUGCUGCCUGCCUAGCAGCCGGCUGCUGCGCUGCAGCCUCCCCAGCCCUGCUUACAGGGGGGGUGAUGGGCUGCUCUUGGGACAGGGGGCCAAGGGGACAGGAGAGGGGGCUCCAUGGCUGGUGACACGCACCCUGACGAUGGGGCUGUCACAUUGGCAGGGCGCCAGCAGGACGGGCGGCCGCAAAGGCACGGACCCACGCCCUGGCUACAGGCCGGUCGCCUUGCCUGCCCCACUACCAACUGGCCUCCCUCCCUCCCUCCCAGAAAAAAAAAAGAAGAAAAAAAGUCAGGGACAGGCCCAGACUCUCCCUCCACUCCAUUCGCUGGCUGAGAGGGAAUCCCCCCGUGGCUGCCCAGAGCCCUCCUUUCUCUCCUGGGAAGGCCAAGCUAAGCUGCAGCACUUCUAA